UACGGGGGGGGCAAGCGUUGUUCGGAAUUACUGGGCGUAAAGGGCUCGUAGGCGGCCAACUAAGUCGGACGUGAAAUCCCUCGGCUUAACCGGGGAACUGCGUCCGAUACUGGAUGGCUUGAGUAUGGGAGAGGGAUGCGGAAUUCCAGGUGUAGCGGUGAAAUGCGUAGAUAUCUGGAGGAACACCGGUGGCGAAGGCGGCAUCCUGGACCGGCAUUGACGCUGAGGAGCGAAAGCCAGGGGAGCAAACGGG
rnacentral:rRNA from 1 species